UUGUUUUUAUUUCUUCUACCAUCAUUCCAAAAUCCCAUUCAAUCUUUUUGGUGAUUGUGAUUGAUGAUAUAUUUUUUCUUGUAGCAAUUAGUAGCAUUCCUUUUUUUCCCAAGGAAAAUGAAACCCAACAAAUAGCAUAUGGGAAUGGGAGAGUAUGUAAACUUUUCUCUUUCUUUUUUUUUUUUUUUUCAUUGAAUGCCAUAUUUUGGCUGAGCGUCCAUCUUUUCUCUCCCAAUGUAGGAGGCUUAAGAUUCUUUGUCAGUCAUCUAGAUGAAGAAAUUCAGCAGCCCUUAGUUUGUACCUAAAGCCUUUCCCAAGCUGUCAUUUGCCUUUUCUCAUAAAGACAUAAACCCACCCUUCUCAUCCUUUUUUAGAUUUAAAUAAUCUUUAUUUUAGAGUCGCAAAUAUUGUUACAUCUCUUCACAAUAGAUAUGAAGCCAAGUAUGGAAAUAAAUAAAUAAAUAAAUUUAUGUAUGCUUGACAAAUCACAAAUGGGACUCUUCUCCAUUAUUUUCUUGGCCCCAAACAGAUUUUAAUUCAAGGUAAGGCAAAAUGCUGAUCCUGAUUGGCAUAUCUUUGAUUAGAGAUAUUUAUUGAUUGAGUAGGAUUAAACUUUAUUGAUAUGUUUAGCUUUAAAUUUCGAUAGACAAUUAAUCCAUUAAAAUUCAUUUAAAUUUGUUACUAUUUAAAAUGUUAAAAAUUUAUUUUAUAUUCAUAUUUUACAAUUAAAAAUUAAAUAAAAAUAUUUUUAUUAAUAAAAUACUCUUCCGAGCCAUGACGAACUUAAAAAGUCCUUUAAAAUCUCGACUCUAAUCAGAUUAGGUUCGCGGGUUUGACAUGUUGCCCCACCCAGACAUGGGUCUAAUCUUGAUUCGUACAAUAUUUUUCCUGUGCUGCUAUUUUUUUUUUCCACUAAAAUUUGUCCCUUUCCUAGGUUUCCUCUCGCUAUAACUGUACGUUUAACCAUUGAAUAUGUAGUAAUUUCUAGUACAUUUGAUGAUCUAAC
rnacentral:lncRNA from 1 species